ACGGGUGAGUAACGCGUGGGAACAUACCCUUUUCUACGGAAUAGCUCUGGGAAACUGGAAUUAAUACCGUAUACGCCCUACGGGGGAAAGAUUUAUCGGGGAAGGAUUGGCCCGCGUUGGAUUAGCUAGUUGGUGGGGUAAAGGCCUACCAAGGCGACGAUCCAUAGCUGGUCUGAGAGGAUGAUCAGCCACAUUGGGAUUGAGACACGGCCCAAACUCCUACGGGAGGCAGCAGUGGGGAAUAUUGGACAAUGGGCGCAAGCCUGAUCCAGCCAUGCCGCGUGAGUGAUGAAGGCCUUAGGGUUGUAAAGCUCUUUCACCGAUGAAGAUAAUGACGGUAGUCGGAGAAGAAGCCCCGGCUAACUUCGUGCCAGCAGCCGCGGUAAUACGAAGGGGGCUAGCGUUGUUCGGAAUUACUGGGCGUAAAGCGCACGUAGGCGGAUAUUUAAGUCAGGGGUGAAAUCCCAGAGCUCAACUCUGGAACUGCCUUUGAUACUGGGUAUCUUGAGUAUGGAAGAGGUAAGUGGAAUUGCGAGUGUAGAGGUGAAAUUCGUAGA
rnacentral:rRNA from 1 species